rnacentral:rRNA from 1 species
GGGCAGGUGCGGCGGCCUAUACUGCAAGUCGAGCGAAUGGAUUAAGAGCUUGCUCUUAUGAAGUUAGCGGCGGACGGGUGAGUAACACGUGGGUAACCUGCCCAUAAGACUGGGAUAACUCCGGGAAACCGGGGCUAAUACCGGAUAACAUUUUGAACCGCAUGGUUCGAAAUUGAAAGGCGGCUUCGGCUGUCACUUAUGGAUGGACCCGCGUCGCAUUAGCUAGUUGGUGAGGUAACGGCUCACCAAGGCAACGAUGCGUAGCCGACCUGAGAGGGUGAUCGGCCACACUGGGACUGAGACACGGCCCAGACUCCUACGGGAGGCAGCAGUAGGGAAUCUUCCGCAAUGGACGAAAGUCUGACGGAGCAACGCCGCGUGAGUGAUGAAGGCUUUCGGG